rnacentral:rRNA from 1 species
CCCUUAGAUGUUCUGGGCUGCACGCGCGCUACACUGAUGCGCUCAACGAGUUUUAACCUUGCCUGGAAAGGUUGGGUAAUCUUUUUAAAACGCAUCGUGAUGGGGAUAGACUAUUGCAAUUAUUGGUCUUCAACGAGGAAUUCCUAGUAGACGUAGUUCAUCAGACUGCAUCGAUUACGUCCCUGCCCUUUGUACACACCGCCCGUCGCUCCUACCGAUUGAAUGCUCAGGUGAGCCAUUCGGACUUUCAUCAUGCUGGUUUCCAGUUUUGAUGAAGGAAAGUCUUGCGAACCUUAUCAUUUAGAGGAAGGAGAAGUCGUAACA